rnacentral:rRNA from 1 species
UACGGAGGGUGCAAGCGUUGUUCGGAAUUAUUGGGCGUAAAGGGCGCGUAGGUGGUUAUGCAAGUCAGAUGUGAAAUACUUCAGCUCAACUGAAGAACUGCAUCUGAAACUGCAUAACUAGAGUACAGGAGAGGGAAACGGAAUUCCCGGUGUAGAGGUGAAAUUCGUAGAUAUCGGGAGGAACACCUGUGGCGAAGGCGGCCUUCUGGACUGACACUGACACUGAGGUGCGAAAGCGUGGGUAGCAAACAGG